rnacentral:rRNA from 1 species
GACGAACGCUGGCGGCGUGCUUAACACAUGCAAGUCGAACGGAAAGGCCCUGCUUUUGUUGGGUGCUCGAUUGGCGAACGGGGGAGUAACACGUGAGUAACCUGCCCUUGACUUUGUGAUAACUUCAGGAAACUGGGGCUAAUACCGGAUAGGAGCUCCUGCUGCAUGGGGGGGGUUGGAAAGUUUCGGCGGUUGGGGAUGUACUCGCGGCUUAUCAGCUUGUUGGUGGGGUAGUGGCUUACCAAGGCUUUGACGGGUAGCCUGCAUGAGAGGGUGACAAGCCAUACAGGGACUGACGUGAGGCCACGACUCCUAAGGGAGGGAGCAGUGGGGAAUAUUGAACAAUGGGCGCAAGCCUGUUGAAGCAGCGCCGCGUGUGGGAUGACGGCCUUAGGGUUGUAAAACGCAUUCGCCUGUGACGAAGAGUGAGUGACGGUAAUGGGUAAAGAAGCACCGGCUAACUACGUG